GAUGAACGCUGGCGGCGUGCCUAAUACAUGCAAGUCGAGCGAACAGAUGAGGAGCUUGCUCCUCUGACGUUAGCGGCGGACGGGUGAGUAACACGUGGAUAACCUACCUAUAAGACUGGGAUAACUUCGGGAAACCGGAGCUAAUACCGGAUAAUAUAUUGAACCGCAUGGUUCAAUAGUGAAAGACGGUUUUGCUGUCACUUAUAGAUGGAUCCGCGCCGCAUUAGCUAGUUGGUAAGGUAACGGCUUACCAAGGCAACGAUGCGUAGCCGACCUGAGAGGGUGAUCGGCCACACUGGAACUGAGACACGGUCCAGACUCCUACGGGAGGCAGCAGGAGGGAAUCUUCCGCAAUGGGCGAAAGCCUGACGGAGCAACGCCGCGUGAGUGAUGAAGGUCUUCGGAUCGUAAAACUCUGUUAUUAGGGAAGAACAAAUGUGUAAGUAACGAUGCACGUCUUGACGGUACCUAAUCAGAAAGCCACGGCUAACUACGU
rnacentral:rRNA from 1 species